rnacentral:lncRNA from 1 species
GGCAUGGAAAAACUCCAAGCCUUGCACGUCUUAGGUACUUAAUAAAUGUUAGUUUCCCCUUUUGACCUCCUUUCUUCCCAGUGAAAAUGGAUUGAGUUGCCAAAUCCUGCCAGUGUCAUCGUGUCCCCCAGGGUUCCCCUUUAGUUCAGCAUCUCAUGCAGUGGGGUGCCCUUGCCACUAGUGGUAUGUAAGAGAAUUUUCUGAGUCUGCAGUGCCUCCAUUGGCCCUUUGCCUGUGUAACCAUAUGUUUACCAUUACCCUCUCUCCCUUGCUCGUAACUUCUAACUCAAGUAGCUCGUCUUGCUUGACUGCACAGGCUAUCCCUUUUCUCUCUCACUGUGACCUGGCACCAGGGUUCCCAGACACAGUCUGCCAGACCCUCGGAGCUGCUCCUCCCACACAGAAGUUUGCGAGUCUGUGUGCUGGUCAGAACAUCCUUGUAACAUGAGGAGCACGACUGUGGCUGUCUGAGCUGGAGCUGGGUCACUGCCUCUCAACAGUCACUGUGGAUCAUAACCUCUAUCAAUCCACUCUGAAGAGCUGAUGCAGACUGGAGUCACA